AGAGCUCAUUGUAAUGCGUCCUGCAGCU
rnacentral:piRNA from 1 species